CGGGGUGCACCAGGCGCGAAAACUCUACAAUGCAGGCAACUGCGAUAGGGGAACAUCGAGUGAUACUCAUCUUGGGUGUCUGUCCUCCCGUCUAAAAAACGGGAGUUAGCAAGGGCCGGGCAAGACCGGUGCCAGCCGCCGCGGUAAUACCGGCGGCUCGAGUGGUGGCCGAUAUUAUUGAGUCUAAAGGGUCCGUAGCCGGCUUUGCAAGUCUUUUGGGAAAUCCAGCGGCUUAACCGUUGGUCGUCCGGGAGAUACUACAUUGCUUGGGACUGGGAGAGGUAGGAGGUACUCAGGGGGUAGGAGUGAAAUCCUGUAAUCCUUUGGGGACCACCGGUGGCGAAGGCGUCCUACCAGAACAGGUCCGACGGUGAGGGACGAAAGCUAGGGGCACGAACCGGAUUAGAUACCCGGGUAGUCCUAGCCGUAAACGAUGCUCGCUAGGUGUCACAACAAUCGUGAAUUGUUGUGGUGCCGUAGGGAAGCCGUGAAGCGAGCCACUUGGGAAGUACGACCGCAAGGUUGAAACUUAAAGGAAUUGGCGGGGGAGCACAAGGGCGAAUCGC
rnacentral:rRNA from 1 species